UGGAGGGUUUGAGUUCUGAGGAGAGGCUGGAUAGGCUGAGAUCAUUUUUCCUGGAGCACGGGAGCUGAGGGAGAACCUUAUAGAGCUUUACCAAAUCAUGAAGGACACAGAUAAUGUGAAGAUCAAAGGAAAUUCCAUGGAUUCUGUGGGUCCUUGCGUGGCUGGUGAGCCCGAUCCUAGAGCUGCAUCUCUGACCACACAUUUGGCAAGUGUUUCUGAAAGGUGGAAUAGCUGUUUUACAAUGAGGAAAACCUGGCUCAACCCCUCAGACUGGUACCUUCACAGCACCUGAACUGACCUUGCUGUAAUGACCUGACUGGUUGCACGCACCCUGCAGGACUGACAAACGUAACUCAUUCAAAAACCCAGUCACUUGCUUACAGUUAAAACAAGGCCUGAAGAAUUUAGUAUGCCAAAAUGUUAUUACCUUUCCCAUAAAUGGAAACUCUGCAGUUUUAAUUAUAGAAUGAUAGGUUUGCAUGGGCAGUUUCUGUUAUAAAUUCAGACAAAGCAAUUUAAAAUGGAACUAUGAAAAGAACAAAAUGU